CCUACGGGAGACUGCAGUGGGGAAUAUUGCACAAUGGAGGAAACCCUGAUGCAGCGACGCCGCGUGAGUGAAGAAGUAUUUCGUUAUGUAAAGCUCUAUCAGCAGGGAAGAAAAUGACGGUACCUGAGUAAGAAGCCCCGGCUAACUACGUGCCAGCAGCCGCGGUAAUACGUAGGGGGCAAGCGUUAUCCGGAUUUACUGGGUGUAAAGGGUGCGUAGACGGCAGAGCAAGUCUGUAGUGAAAGGCGGGGGCUCAACCCCCGGACUGCACUGGAAACUGUACGGCUUGAGUGCAGGAGAGGUAAGUGGAAUUCCUAGUGUAGCGGUGAAAUGCGUAGAUAUUAGGAGGAACACCAGUGGCGAAGGCGGCUUACUGGACUGUAACUGACGUUGAGGCUCGAAAGUGUGGGGAGCAAACAGGAUUAGAUACCCCAGUAGUC
rnacentral:rRNA from 1 species